UCGCAUAGACAGCUAGUUAAUUGAGCAGUAAAAACAAAAACAUGGUGGAAACAAAACAUGAGUGCACACCGCCUUUGGAGUUUUCUGUUUAUUUACUUCAAAGUACUAAUAGAAGAAUGCUACAGAAGGUAUCCCACAUGCAGAACAAGGCAAAGAGGAGUGCCCAGCCAAUGGUGGAAUUGCAGUCUGUCUGGCGACUGGAGAAGCAACUGCAAGGGAUUUUUAUUACAUUGAUAGAGAAUUCCCUACGGUGGGAGUGCUUGACAAGGCCAGGUCAACUCAGAUGAAGCGAAGGUGCCUUUUAUGUGGGAUUGUUCGUCUGCGGAUUUGGUGAUGGGCAGAAGGAUGAGUCCACGGUGAACCCAGAAGCCUGCGCCUCCUUCAGAGACCUGUCGCCACUCUGCUGACUGGAGUCCAGACCCACAGAUCUUUUACAAGGUCUGACUGUCACUAAUUGUUCCAUGGUGUGGAGUAAAUCAACGAGACGCCAGCUUACUCUUUCUGCUCCCCGCAGCCUAGAUCAAUGGAAGACUCAGGAGAACAGGACCAGAGCACGGGCCUUUCAGAGGCCUGUCAGCAUGCCACAGGCUCCCCACAGGAAUAUCAAUGAGGGGCCCCCUCGCUGCCCUGGACUGAUUGAAGAGGCUUCCGUCAAAAGUGCUCCCUACGGUUGCUGCCACUGUGGACAAGCAGAUCCCCAGAACCUCAGGAACAACACUUAAACUAAAACAAAGCAGAUGAGCACACGUCUAUGGGGAAUGAAGGAAAAUAUCUUCCCUGGGCGUAUUGAGAAAAUAGAGUGGGACCACUGGGAUUCAGUAAAUGGGUCGAUGAAAAACAGCAGAAUUUUGACUUUUGGAAUUUUGGGUUCUUAUCAGACAAAAAUGUAUGCAUUUCUUCUGGAAGAGUCCCUUGUUUGUAUUUGCAUCCUGAGGUAAACAUGGCUUAUAAUCUCAGUGUUGCUCUAAUGCAUACGGGCAUGUAAGACUGUCAAAACAGUGAUACUAUGGAUGGAAAUAGUUGUAGCUUUCUUGCAGUCUGUGGUCAUGAAGAAGGUAACCCCCCAAUGCUUUCUGUCUCCAAAGUGUCUAAAAUAUAACGGGUUGUUUUGGGGGACUGGCUUGCUUCAAACAUCGCUGAGCAAAAAUAGAGCAAUCAUGGGAGAUCUGGUAAUUCAUCAACGCAAAAAAAAGAUAAAUAAUUCCCAGCGGGGGGCACGGAAAGCGAUGGUGACAAGAAGUUUAUGAUAAUGUGAUGAAGAGUGGUAAUGUAUUCACUGAGCAUUUGAACCUGGUCCAGGGCUCCCACGCUGCAUGACUCACCGUGUGAAAGGUACAUUUGCAGAUGAAAUCUCUGAGAACAUUUGAUUUCAUUUCUGCAUACCGUGGUGUCAGUGCGGCGCCAAGUUCCCUCAGUCCAUUUAGUUCCCUCUAAAUGGAAAAUACAGUGCUGCCGUAGAAGGGAAAGAAAUGCAGUGCUGGGAUUCUCCGUUCUCCAGAGGCCUGUGACAGAACUCGCAGGCUUCUCAAGUGUCAUCCUGCAGUGGGUUUUUGCCAAUAGAUGUUUUCCAUCCUGUUUUUGGAGUUCAAAGUUUGACCUUAGCUGGGAGGAGGGUUGUAGGAAAUGUUUGUUUCUGCGUGUGUCCAACCCCUGGUGAACCGCUUGAAGCCAGGCUGUAAAGCCUGUUCUGUCUUGCGUUGUUGAUUUUGGUAAGGGAACAAGAAGCAGGAGCCUCCCUGGUUCUGUCAUCAUGCUGGGUCUGUCACAGUGUCCUGCUGCUCCUCUGCUCUGUCCAAUAAAUCCUUAUCUCCCUCUCUAGCCAACCAUCCAUCAUCUUCUCUGCUCCACAAUGCUUUCAGCAGCCAUGGUUUUUACAGCACAGUCCACAGUCUGUUUAUGUAACACUGAAAGGAUUGUUUAUUUUAUGGAGGGAAAAAAAGGUAACAGUUAAGACAUGUGUUGACCAGCAGUUGUUAGAUUUCUUGGGGAUUUGUUGCAUUAAAGUUAUCGUAUCAGUCAAAAACCGGCAUUUACAUUGUUGGCAGGAUGACAUUUAUGGCACCCAGCAUCUGACUGUUAAUUACAGUGACAUUUGGAAGUUGGCUUUCAGGAAAUGCCAAAGCUCAUGAUAGUGCUGGCAUAAUGGAAGUUCUCUAAUGGCACUUACAUCUGUCUUUUUCACCCAUAUCCAGAUGAUUUCUCCAUGAAAAAGGUCAUGCGUAAUCAUUAGGUUUAAUUGGUUGCGGUUUAAGCACUGAUGCAGUAGUUUCGUUUGUGUCUGUUGUGCCCUAGCCCUUGCUGAGCAAAAGUCAGAGCAAAUGUCCAUGUGCAGUUUGCCAUAAUAUGUUCUCUUUAUAUAGGUUUAGCUAUGUGGCUUCUGACAGCAUUAGUGUCCUUUGCUAAAACAGCUUCUCCACAAGCUGAGGGGAUUCCAGACGCGUAAUUCCUUCCUUCACGGUUAGCUAUAUUAAUCUUGUUAAUCACUAGGACUGCCCUUCAACUGAGGGUUUGGUUUCCCUACACUAUUGUCUCCCAAUUCAAUUUCCUCUUACUUGUUGACACAUUUUCAGACAAUCCAGCAAUCAAAGAUUGUGGUUUGAGGCAGAUUGUUUUGUGGUAGCUCAUGGGUGUUAGAGGAGCACAUGGCUUUUUGAGUUUACUGUUGCAAGGAUUCAUUAAUAGGCAACUUCUUAACAGCCUUUUGAAAUAAUUACUCUCAUGAACUUGUACACCUGCAAUGACAAAUUAAUUGUAUGAGUUAGGCACAUAAAUGUUGUCAAUAGAAUAACACUGUUUCACUAUUUGAUACAAUUUAGUCAUAUAUUCGUGCAACUUACUAAGUUGAGAGCAGGUAUUUUCUAUUGAAAAUGAACAGGCUUUCCUAUCCUGUUUUGUUUUCCAUAAUGAUUAUGUUAUGAUUCAGUCUUAUAAAUAUUCCAUUCAUAAGCAACAGUGUAACCUAUUACAGUUGUUUAUUGAGGAUAAUGUCAUAUU